CCUGUGCUGAAGUCAGACGCUCAACCAACUGAGCUACCCAGAUUUCUGCAUUUUGUGCUUGAUGUGUAUUGUCUCUAAGUGACAUGUUUCAUAAGAAGAAGGGUCUGGAGUUUUGAGGAAUGUCAGUGUGCCUUCAGGGUGGGAGCCGGGCCGGGGGCAGCUUGCCCCCAGGACAGCAGCUGAAGAUCUCCCAGUGAGCCUCUAAAAACAGAGCAAGUUGCAGAAGUUGAAGUGAAAACCACGAGACUCUUUCUCUUCUGAAGGGCCUCCUCAGGGAGGAUGUGCCGAUGUAGGACAAUCCCCUCCUCCAGGCAGACCUCCGUCAUGGAUCCUGGCUCUCCAGGAGCCCCUUACUUACACCUGCAGCCUAUGGUUCUGGGACACAGCACCCCAUCAGCCAGAUGACCUGUCGCGGCCCAAGUCCCCAGCAGCAGCAAGCUGGCAUGCUUGGGUGCAUUACGCCUGAUUUCUGAGCACCGUCCCUGAAGAAAUGACCCUCCGGACUCAGGCUGCCCACUCCUCUCUGGAGAACUUCAUACGUCAGAUCCAAUGUCCGCUGGCCCUGGGCUCAGCCAGGAAGGACAUCAUCUCAGAAUAGAGAACAGUCCUGGCCAAGAGAGCUCCUCGGACCCAUCAUUCUGUCGUCCCAUCAUUCUCAAAGUCCAGGGUACUCAUCAUCUUCCCAUCUCGCCUGGGGUUCGUGAGCAUUUCUCGACACAAGGACCUGGCACCAGGACAGGACGACGUUCCUGGCGUCCUCAGCCUCAUUGGUCAGUCAUCCUAGCACAUGUUGCAAGGAGCCCCGUCACCCCGAGGUGCCCUCACCCCAGCCUGGCACAGCAGCUCAGUCCGUCCCUUCUCUGGUUCUGCAGAAACUCCAUCCUGAAGCCACGGAGUGGGUUGAAGCAAGGUGGAUGUCCAUGCCAGGAGGAAGGCACCACGGAGGAGCACAGUAGAGACAGCACUCCUCAGAGACUGGCUGAGGUGAGCCUGAAGCCACUGAGAGCCGGCAGAGGAGCAGUGGUGACACACAGGCCCGUUGAAGGGCUCCACUGUCAGAAGCUCCCAAAUCUGAGGAUAUCUGGAAACCCCUGAGCAUCAGGAGAGGUGAUGAUGGUAACGGAUGGGGAUCCACUGAGUGAAGUGACAACCAAGAGUCCACACGGAGAGAAAUAACUACAGGAAUCAAUACAUCAGGAGUCAGACGAGAGGCUGGGGCACCUGGGGGGUUCAGUCGGUUGCGUGUCUGACUUCGGCUCAGGUCACGAUCUCACCAUA